AGAGUUUGAUCCUGGCUCAGAGCGAACGCUGGCGGCAGGCUUAACACAUGCAAGUCUAGCGCCCCGCAAGGGGAGCGGCAGACGGGUGAGUAACACGUGGGAACAUACCCUUCGGUUCGGAAUAACUCAGGGAAACUUGAGCUAAUACCGGAUACGUUCGCGAGAAGAAAGAUUUAUCGCCGAAGGAUUGGCCCGCGUCCGAUUAGCUAGUUGGUGUGGUAAUGGCGCACCAAGGCGACGAUCGGUAGCUGGUCUGAGAGGAUGAUCAGCCACAUUGGGACUGAGACACGGCCCAAACUCCUACGGGAGGCAGCAGUGGGGAAUAUUGGACAAUGGGCGCAAGCCUGAUCCAGCCAUGCCGCGUGAGUGAUGACGGCCUUAGGGUUGUAAAGCUCUUUCACCCACGACGAUAAUGACGGUAGUGGGAGAAGAAGCCCCGGCUAACUUCGUGCCAGCAGCCGCGGUAAUACGAAGGGGGCUAGCGUUGUUCGGAAUUACUGGGCGUAAAGCGCGUGUAGGCGGGUCUUUAAGUCAGGGGUGAAAUGCCAAGGCUCAACCUUGGAACUGCCUUUGAUACUGGAGAUCUUGAGUCCGGGAGAGGUGAGUGGAACUGCGAGUGUAGAGGUGAAAUUCGUAGAUAUUCGCAAGAACACCAGUGGCGAAGGCGGCUCACUGGCCCGGAACUGACGCUGAGACGCGAAAGCGUGGGGAGCAAACAGGAUUAGAUACCCUGGUAGUCG
rnacentral:rRNA from 1 species